CACCCUAAUUGAGCGACACUCCACGCGAGUGCCAAGACCCCUGAACCGAUCAACGCUGCGACGAUGUGCGCCGUCGCGGUCCACACAGUUCCUGCAUUCGAGAACAGCUCGAGUGUGAGAGAAUUCAGGAUCUCGACCACAGUUGGAAUGAGAAAGAAGUGAGGGAGGAGGGAGGUGAUUUAUAGUGCAGGCGGAGUGUGCUUCCAAUACCUGAUGAUCCCUUUGAUUCUUCGAUUUGAAAUAACAAAGUGAAAGGUUCAAAAUUGUAAAUCCUUGCCACCACUAAAAGACAGAGAGAGAGAGAGAGAGAGA